GACGAACGCUGGCGGCGUGCCUAAUACAUGCAAGUAGAACGCUGAAGAGAGGAGCUUGCUCUUCUUGGAUGAGUUGCGAACGGGUGAGUAACGCGUAGGUAACCUGCCUUGUAGCGGGGGAUAACUAUUGGAAACGAUAGCUAAUACCGCAUAACAAUGGAUGACACAUGUCAUUUAUUUGAAAGGGGCAAUUGCUCCACUACAAGAUGGACCUGCGUUGUAUUAGCUAGUAGGUGAGGUAACGGCUCACCUAGGCGACGAUACAUAGCCGACCUGAGAGGGUGAUCGGCCACACUGGGACUGAGACACGGCCCAGACUCCUACGGGAGGCAGCAGUAGGGAAUCUUCGGCAAUGGGGGCAACCCUGACCGAGCAACGCCGCGUGAGUGAAGAAGGUUUUCGGAUCGUAAAGCUCUGUUGUAAGUCAAGAACGAGUGUGAGAGUGGAAAGUUCACACUGUGACGGUAGCUUACCAGAAAGGGACGGCUAACUACGUGCCAGCAGCCGCGGUAAUACGUAGGUCCCGAGCGUUGUCCGGAUUUAUUGGGCGUAAAGCGAGCGCAGGCGGUUUGAUAAGUCUGAAGUUAAAGGCUGUGGCUCAACCAUAGUUCGCUUUGGAAACUGUCAAACUUGAGUGCAGAAGGGGAGAGUGGAAUUCCAUGUGUAGCGGUGAAAUGCGUAGAUAUAUGGAGGAACACCGGUGGCGAAAGCGGCUCUCUGGUCUGUAACUGACGCUGAGGCUCGAAAGCGUGGGGAGCGAACAGGAUUAGAUACCCUGGUAGUCCACGCCGUAAACGAUGAGUGCUAGGUGUUGGAUCCUUUCCGGGAUUCAGUGCCGCAGCUAACGCAUUAAGCACUCCGCCUGGGGAGUACGACCGCAAGGUUGAAACUCAAAGGAAUUGACGGGGGCCCGCACAAGCGGUGGAGCAUGUGGUUUAAUUCGAAGCAACGCGAAGAACCUUACCAGGUCUUGACAUCCCGAUGCUAUUUCUAGAGAUAGAAAGUUACUUCGGUACAUCGGUGACAGGUGGUGCAUGGUUGUCGUCAGCUCGUGUCGUGAGAUGUUGGGUUAAGUCCCGCAACGAGCGCAACCCCUAUUGUUAGUUGCCAUCAUUCAGUUGGGCACUCUAGCGAGACUGCCGGUAAUAAACCGGAGGAAGGUGGGGAUGACGUCAAAUCAUCAUGCCCCUUAUGACCUGGGCUACACACGUGCUACAAUGGUUGGUACAACGAGUUGCAAGUCGGUGACGGCAAGCUAAUCUCUUAAAGCCAAUCUCAGUUCGGAUUGUAGGCUGCAACUCGCCUACAUGAAGUCGGAAUCGCUAGUAAUCGCGGAUCAGCACGCCGCGGUGAAUACGUUCCCGGGCCU
rnacentral:rRNA from 1 species